rnacentral:rRNA from 1 species
UACUUGUUAGUUGCCAUCAUUCAGUUGGGCACUCUAGCGAGACUGCCGGUAAUAAACCGGAGGAAGGUGGGGAGUGACGUCAAAUCAUCAUGCCCCUUAUGACCUGGGCUACACACGUGCUACAAUGGUUGGUACAACGAGUUGCGAGUCGGUGACGGCGAGCUAAUCUCUUAAAGCCAAUCUCAGUUCGGAUUGUAGGCUGCAACUCGCCUACAUGAAGUCGGAAUCGCUAGUAAUCGCGGAUCAGCACGCCGCGGUGAAUACGUUCCCGGGCCUU